rnacentral:tRNA from 1 species
GUUUUAGCUCAAUGGUACAGCACUAGCUUUGCAUGCAUAAGGCCCUGGGUUCAAUUCCCAGGAACA